AAUUGAAAGAGGGACUAGGGUUACCUCGAUGCGCCGUUCCCAAUUCUCAGACUCUCUCCUUCCUCCUUCUCACGACGGCGCUAAGGCUUCAUCAUCUUCACCGGCCAAGAUUCUUCCCCCGCCACCGCCAAACAAACACACUCGAAACCCGUCUCUCAUCUCUCUCGAUCUCGAAUCAGUUUUCAAACUCUUUUUGCUAUCGAUCUCAAAUAGCUCUCACUUUCCGAUUUCUUCUUCUUCGUGCGUUUUCUCGGUUUGAUUCGAAGUUGACAGGCGGCGCAAGAUGAUGAUGUCGUAUGCGUUGAAUCACUGUUGAUGAUACGUUGAUGGAAAGAUGAAGCUCGCACUGAUGCGUGAAGAGAUGAAGAGUGGAACGCAUAUAGAUCGAAGAACAUGAAGAUCUUAUCGAAGAUCGAUGGUGGAAGAUUUAUCAUUGUUGAAGGGUUAUUGGUGAUGAAGAAGUGAAGAUGGUGAAGAUGAAAGAGAGUGGAGGCGGGGAAACAGAGUGAAGACGUGAAGAAGUGAAGAUGAUCAAUGUUGAGAUGCUGAGAACGGUGGAGGAUUAAAGUGAAGAGAGAUUGAAGUGAAUUGUGUGGAGUGAAUGAAGGGAUCGAAAAUGGUGGAGAUGGUGAGGUGAGUGUGGAGAGGGAUUGAAGUGAAGAUGAUGAUGGAGAAAGAAUGAAUUCAGGGAGAGAGCCCUGAAGACUGGAUCAAUGUUCAGUUAUAUAGAGUGCAGGUCUGACUCCAGUUCAGCAAUUUGUGAAGGUCAAGUGCAGGGUACAGCAUGGCACAUUUGCAGGGCAUUGACAUAAAGAAUGCUUGGAGAGUUCGAAAAAGUUUAUGGACAGCAACUGAUCAUGAAUGGAGACUAGUGGAGUUUAGCCCCUUGUAGCAAAAGUUUAAGCUUUUUCUUUGCAGUUUUGUAAUUUCUUUUGGUGUAAUGAUUGAAGCUUGUAGUGUACCUUCUGAAUGUGGGUGUUGACCCCCCCCCCUUUUUUGUAAUGUCGACUUCAACUUUUGUAAUGAAUCGGGCCUUUUGGUUAUGUAUGGGUCUUGAAUGAAUAUAUAAGUGUCGCUUUGAAUGGACAAAGCUUGAUUAGCGAACAAAAUCGUAUGGACUUAUUCUUCAAAUGAUAAGAAAAUUCCUCCGUUCUUUGAACAUAAUUUCCCAAGCCUUUAAGUGAAACUCUGAUUUUUCCAUAGCCUUGAUCCUAUGCCUGAUUAUUGAUCCAAUGAAUGUGCAAUGCGCUGAUGACCUAAUGCAAAUGAAUGAGAAGCUAUAAGCCAAUUAGGAAUAAUUAGAUGGGCAAAUUUUGGGGUGCGACAGCUGCCCCUAUUUAAUCAUCUUAAACCUGAAAGUGAGAUUGGCGCUAGCCUUUCGAGCAUUCAAGGUAGAAGAAGAUUAAAUACCAAGUGAACCUGAAAAUUUGCCUUAUGAGAGAUAUGAUCCACUGGGGAAAAGAUGGUGUCAACUCCAC